GAACGGUAACAGGGAGCUUGCUCCGCUGACGAGUGGCGAACGGGUGAGUAAUAUAUCGGAACGUACCUUUGAGUGGGGGAUAACUAGUCGAAAGAUUAGCUAAUACCGCAUACGAUCUACGGAUGAAAGCGGGGGAUCGCAAGACCUCGUGCUCAUAGAGCGGCCGAUAUCUGAUUAGCUAGUUGGUGAGGUAAAGGCUCACCAAGGCUUCGAUCAGUAGCUGGUCUGAGAGGACGACCAGCCACACUGGGACUGAGACACGGCCCAGACUCCUACGGGAGGCAGCAGUGGGGAAUUUUGGACAAUGGGGGCAACCCUGAUCCAGCAAUGCCGCGUGAGUGAAGAAGGCCUUCGGGUUGUAAAGCUCUUUUGUCAGGGAAGAAACGGGGAUUCCUAAUACGAGUCCCUAAUGACGGUACCUGAAGAAUAAGCACCGGCUAACUACGUG
rnacentral:rRNA from 1 species